GCCACUUUUCCUCAAAAAAACUCCUCAUUCCUUCACCCCGAUUUCAUGGAAUGUUUCCGGAUUGGAGGUAACUUUAUAACUUCACGCCUGAUGUUGCUCGGAAUGUGAGCUUCAUACCCUUAAUGUUCUGUAUAAAAAGUCAGAGCAAAGAUGUAAAAGUGGGGUAAUGAUCAGAAACAUUUUACUGGUUUCCAUGGUGAUUGUCCAACUUCUAGAACUUUGUCCCGGAAUUGCUCCUCAUCCUGUUUAAUUCCUGUAGCUCAGUCAGAGUAACACUUUCCUGCUUAGUAAAAUUUAGCCGGCACUAUGUGUGAUGACUUUCACCAGUGAUAACCCACAAUGCAUACAUUUCCCAGGGUUCCGUGGUUCCCCCUCUACAAUCUUUUUGUUAUUUUUUUCUUAUACCGUUACAGUUGUACAGCAUUAAAUACCAUCUGUGUGUAACGCUCAUUUGUGGAUUUGCUUUACCUAAUUAGCCUUAACCGCAACACUGCAUAGCUAAGUAUUUGUAAUUUGAAAAUAUUCAAUAAAAAUAUUCAAGUAGAAAAAAC